rnacentral:rRNA from 1 species
UGCCAGCCGCCGCGGUAAUACGUAGGGUGCAAGCGUUAAUCGGAAUUACUGGGCGUAAAGCGCGCGUAGGCGGCUUGGUCAGUCAGAUGUGAAAGCCCCGGGCUUAACCUGGGAAUUGCAUUUGAUACUGCCAAGCUAGAGUACAGUAGAGGGGGGUAGAAUUCCGGGUGUAGCGGUGAAAUGCGUAGAUAUCCGGAGGAAUACCAGUGGCGAAGGCGGCCCCCUGGACUGAUACUGACGCUGAGGUGCGAAAGCGUGGGGAGCAAACAGGAUUAGAUA